AGCAGUGGGGAAUAUUGGACAAUGGGCGAAAGCCUGAUCCAGCCAUGCCGCGUGUGUGAAGAAGGUCUUCGGAUUGUAAAGCACUUUAAGUUGGGAGGAAGGGCAGUUACCUAAUACGUGAUUGUUUUGACGUUACCGACAGAAUAAGCACCGGCUAACUCUGUGCCAGCAGCCGCGGUAAUACAGAGGGUGCAAGCGUUAAUCGGAAUUACUGGGCGUAAAGCGCGCGUAGGUGGUUUGUUAAGUUGGAUGUGAAAUCCCCGGGCUCAACCUGGGAACUGCAUUCAAAACUGACUGACUAGAGUGUGGUAGAGGGUGGUGGAAUUUCCUGUGUAGCGGUGAAAUGCGUAGAUAUAGGAAGGAACACCAGUGGCGAAGCGACCACCUGGACCAACACUGACACUGAG
rnacentral:rRNA from 1 species